UACAGGGGGUGCAACCGUUGCUCGGAAUUAUUGGGCGUAAAGCGCGCGUAGGCGGCCGCUUAAGUCGGAUGUGAAAGCCCCUGGCUCAACUGGGGAAGUGCACCCGAAACUGAGUGGCUUGAGUACUAAAGAGGGUCGCGGAAUUCCCGGUGUAGAGGUGAAAUUCGUAGAUAUCGGGAGGAACACCGGUGGCGAAGGCGGCGACCUGGGUAGAUACUGACGCUGAGGCGCGAAAGUGUGGGGAGCAAACAGG
rnacentral:rRNA from 1 species